rnacentral:lncRNA from 1 species
CCCUGCCCUUCCACUUCCCUUAAGACCUGUGUGAUUUAAUGCAGUCAAUUUUCUCAUGAUAGCACUUGAUCUGCCCCAGGUAUGUGUACUGCUAAGAAUGCUUGGCAUGAACAUGCCAGGGGUUUCCAUCAGUGAAUGGGAAGGUUUAUGCAAAUAACACUGCACAGCACUGAGACAUUGAUGCUGAACCUUGACUUUUCCCUGUCUUUUGCUUUACAAUGCAAGUUGCAGAUGUCGGGAAAGGAGCUGAGCAGGAAGAGAAAGGGAGCCAGCACUGUGCUGGGGUCUUUACGCCUCACCGAAUCCACAACCAGUCCUGCAGCAGUAGAGAGCACAGAGAUGGCUGCACCACCUAGGUGUAAAGGAAUGCAUGGGAAGCUGGCUGAAACAACCUAGGAGCAAACUGCCUUCCACCCACAGCUGGACAGAGGUGCAUCCUGUGUUUUAGCCCCAGGGCUGCAUUAUGGAAGCCAGAUGGGUCAUUUUGAAAAGACCAAAACUGCCUUCUCUCUCAGGACAAGGCAACCCCAGCAGUGCUGAGUUCCUGCACCAUCCCUGCACUCCUCUUCAUUAACCUCCUGCCCCCAUCAACAGCAUAAGUGGAUUAUUUCAAAGCAAACCCUAAGCCUACUGAACUCUCAAAGGCAAUGGAGGACUCUGAAGGCCAAGCUCAGCUAAAUGUUUUUGCUUCUUGCCUCUUUCCUUUUUAAUUACAGUGUAAUUUGCAUUUAUGUGAUUUCCUUCUGCCAUUGGGUUGUGGACAGCAUUGAUGAUGAUCGACAUUCCAUAACUUCCCAUCAUAGCUGGAGAGCAGAAGGAUGGCCGCCGUCUCAGAUAAAAUUCUAUCCAAUUAAACAGUUCAAUGAACACGUCAUGGUUUGAGGUUCUCAUUAUCCUCUGUGUGCAUGUCUCAUGGAUAUUUCUUUACACCCAUCAUCGUAAUAAGGUCUUAGUGCAGAAGAUGCUCCAUGAAUUAUGCUCCCCCACUGAGCGUUAUAAUGACAUUGACUUGAAAAUGGGUCUCCUUAGACUUGCAUGAGAAGCUGAGCUUUUUCAUUUAAUUGAAUUGUUCUGGACUUUAUUUUUCCAGGUCUUUUGUCUAAAUGGUAUCAGAUGCUCCACAUGAUGAAACAUGUCACAGACAUUGACAAAAUAAUGUUGGCUCACUAACAGGGUACAUCUACUGAGGGCAAAUGUGUAAAAAGUUUUCUCCAAUCAAUACCCCAGCACAUGCUCCCUGCUCUGGAUGGUGUGGCUCACCUGGCAACUGUGGUUCACCUGGCCAGCUCCCCUGGUUGAAAAUACAAGGUCAACAAUUAAAAGUACAUGUAGUCUGUGUAAGUGUUCACCCAUCUGAGGUGAUUUUAGAGACCAUGGCUACCCCAAACCCAUGCCCUACUCUGCUGCCAGGUACCUAUCCAAAACAUUGAUCUGAAUGUGUCACUUGCUAAUUCAAACAUCUCCAUUUAAACCUCUGAGGAAUGCAGGGUGGUUACUUGAAAAUAUCAAAGGUUUUGAGCAAGAUGGGUCUGGGUUGGAACUCUGGCUGUACCACUUACAGGGUGUAAGAAAAGUUACUUCA